GAUAAACGCUGGCGGCGUGCCUAACACAUGCAAGUCGAACGAUCCCGCAAGGGAGAGUGGCGGAAGGGUGAGUAACACGUGGGAAUCUACCUCCUCGCAGGGAACAACCUCUCGAAAGAGAGGCUAAUACCCAAAAGGGUCAGUAAUGAUCAGAGUCGAAAGGCGUGAGGAGAGGAGCCCGCGGCCCAUCAGCUAGUUGGUGAGGUAAUGGCUUACCAAGGCUACGACGGGUAGGGGAUCUGAGAGGAUGUCCCCCACACUGGAACUGAAACACGGUCCAGACGCCUACGGGUGGCAGCAGUGAGGAAUAUUGGACAAUGGGCGAAAGCCCGAUCCAGCAACGCCGCGUGGAGGAUGAAGGCCUUCGGGUCGUAAACUUCUUUAGAGGGAGACGAGAAAGGACGGUAUCCCUAGAAUAAGCGACGG
rnacentral:rRNA from 1 species